AACAUCGCGCACCUGCGGGAACCUGCGGAGGGAUCAUUACCGAGUGAGGGCCCUCCGGGUCCAACCUCCCACCCGUGUUUAACGAACCUUGUUGCUUCGGCGGGCCCGCCUCACGGCCGCCGGGGGGCACCCCGCCCCCGGGCCCGCGCCCGCCGAAGACACCUGUGAACGCUGUCUGAAGUUGCAGUCUGAGACACUAGCUCAAUCAGUUAAAACUUUUAACAAUGGAUCUCAGAUCGG
rnacentral:misc_RNA from 1 species